GGGCUGGGGCUCAGUGGUAGAGUUCUCACCUGGCAUGCGUGAGGCACUGGGUUCCAUUCUCAGCACCACA
rnacentral:tRNA from 1 species